GAUGAACGCUGGCGGCGUGCCUAAUACAUGCAAGUCGAGCGAACGGACGAGAAGCUUGCUUCUCUGAUGUUAGCGGCGGACGGGUGAGUAACACGUGGAUAACCUACCUAUAAGACUGGGGUAACUUCGGGAAACCGGAGCUAAUACCGGAUGAUAUUUUGAACCGCAUGGUUCAAAAGUGAAAGACGGUCUUGCUGUCACUUAUAGAUGGAUCCGCGCUGCAUUAGCUAGUUGGUAAGGUAAUGGCUUACCAAGGCAACGAUGCAUAGCCGACCUGAGAGGGUGAUCGGCCACACUGGAACUGAGACACGGUCCAGACUCCUACGGGAGGCAGCAGUAGGGAAUCUUCCGCAAUGGGCGAAAGCCUGACGGAGCAACGCCGCGUGAGUGAUGAAGGUCUUCGGAUCGUAAAACUCUGUUAUUAGGGAAGAACAUAUGUGUAAGUAACUGUGCACAUCUUGACGGUACCUAAUCAGAAAGCCACGGCUAACUACGUG
rnacentral:rRNA from 1 species